rnacentral:lncRNA from 1 species
AGACUUUAUCAGUUCUUUACAAUAACCAUAAUUUUCCAAUCCCCAAUCAAGCCCACAACUUGAGGGUCACUCUUGGGUAUAAGAGGCAAGUUGGAUACUAAAAUAUUGCAGUUUGUAAUGAUUAGAGGAAUCAGGAUUAGAUUAGGCAUGACAAGAACUAUGGAGGAAAUAAGUCAAGCUAUUUGAAAUCGAGGUUGUCUUGGAAAAUCCAAGCUGUAUCGUCUCUGUACAGGUAUUGUAUUCUGUUUUCUAGCGAGACCCUCUGAAAAUACUUGAACCUUCCUUCUCUUCACCACUCACUCCUUGCUUUCCCCAGCCUCGCACAUCCAUUGCAUUCAUCCCCAAUCAACACAUUACAUGGUUUUUCCAUGAGUCAUCCUUUAUUGCUGUUUGAAGUCAUAAAUUAUUGGCGCAAGACGCAGUGGGUUUCAAAGCAAAUGACAGAAGGAAACACAGUUUGCAGGUGGGAUGAGGCAAAGGGAGCUUCUCAACAAGAGAGCUGCUGCCCCCGCUCCUCUGAGGCAGAAGGCGGAACUUCUUCCCUUUAAGUGUGCACGUGCGGUGCUCGAAGUCCAGGACGGCGUUGUGGUCCUGGAGCACGUCGGUGCCAAUGAUUGCUUCCUCUGCACUCGCGUUGGCCACUUUCACCACAUUUUCAAAGGGCCGCAGCGUAUCCAAGUCGCCAUCGGUGACCUCCUCCCACAAGCUUGGGUGGACCACGGAGACCUGGGCCCCGGAGUCCACCAGGAACCUCACGGGCACUUUGCCAAUUUUCCCUUUGAGGUAGUAGCCCUUACCCAUGCUGUUGGCAAAGACGAUCUCCUUGGGCAGGUGGCUGUGGGCAGCUUCAGGCCCCCCGAAGGUCUUCAGGAGGGUCUCUUUCACAGCCCCGUAGUUUCCCUGGUCCUCGGGACUGAGACCGUUGAAGGCCCCCAGGGCGUCUCCCCUGAGGGACUCUUUCAGGAACCUCAGCUUGGUGAUGUGGUCCCAGUGGUUGAGGUGGUUGAUGACCUCAAAGCGAUGCAGCCAGAGGUGUGGGGCCACACUGGCUCCAUCGAAAGGCUCUGGGACGAAGGCACGCUCCCGGCUCCUGACUCCGCUCCCGGCCAUCCCUCUGCUCCCUUCUGGAACGGCAGCAACAACCCACAGCAGGUAGAGAAAGCCACAGAGCAGUGUCAGCGCAAUCACGCUGGAGAGCAAGGCUUCUCUAAGCAGACUGUUGCUGGGUGCCCGCUGUUGGCAAGCUGGAGGGACCAGGCGAAGGCUGUCUGA